rnacentral:lncRNA from 1 species
CUUCAACAAUGAGAAUAAAACAGCUCAAGGGUACAUUCUAUUACAAAUGCAGAGAUUGCACCUUCAUCAGGUUGGGGGGGGGGGACACUAUAUAGACACUACAUUCAAACUUGAUUCACAUGAUACAGUUCAGAAUUUGGAUUGUGAUGAAUUAUUAGACACAUCAUACAUGUAGGUUUCUGACACAGAAUAGAUGUGGUAAAAGAACUGAUGAUUUUGAAAUUGGACUUGUGCCAAUAUCCAAAAUCUAAAGUCUAAAAGACAUGAUUAGAUUUAUCAUAUCAAAGAACCCCAUAUAUGCAAUUUUUUAAUGAAUUUAAACAAAGUUUAAGUUUGGACCCCAAUUUGAAUCAACUUGAAAACUGAGCCCAAAUCAUAAAUCUAAACAUGCUAAAUGCAUGAUAACAUUUAGCAUAGAAAAAAAAACUUCAAUAAUAUUUUAAUAAACUAACAAAGGUUUUUUUUGCCCCCGUGAUCUUUUUUGCAAUUUGAAAACGAAUAUUAACA